rnacentral:rRNA from 1 species
ACGCUCGACACCUACGGGGGGCAGCAGUGGGGAAUAUUGCACAAUGGGGGAAACCCUGAUGCAGCGACGCCGCGUGAAGGAUGAAGUAUUUCGGUAUGUAAACUUCUAUCAGCAGGGAAGAAAGUGACGGUACCUGACUAAGAAGCCCCGGCUAACUACGUGCCAGCAGCCGCGGUAAUCUGAGCGGGCUGGCAAGGC